rnacentral:rRNA from 1 species
CGGGGGUAGAGCACUGUUUCGGCUAGGGGGCCAUCCCGGCUUACCAACCCGAUGCAAACUGCGAAUACCGGAGAAUGUUAUCACGGGAGACACACGGCGGGUGCUAACGUCCGUCGUGAAGAGGGAAACAACCCAGACCGCCAGCUAAGGUCCCAAAGUCAUGGUUAAGUGGGAAACGAUGUGGGAAGGCCCAGACAGCCAGGAUGUUGGCUUAGAAGCAGCCAUCAUUUAAAGAAAGCGUAAUAGCUCACUGGUCGAGUCGGCCUGCGCGGAAGAUGUAACGGGGCUAAACCAUGCACCGAAGCUGCGGCAGCGACACUCAGGUGUUGUUGGGUAGGGGAGCGUUCUGUAAGCCUGUGAAGGUGGCCUGUGAGGGUUGCUGGAGGUAUCAGAAGUGCGAAUGCUGACAUAAGUAACGAUAAAGCGGGUGAAAAGCCCGCUCGCCGGAAGACCAAGGGUUCCUGUCCAACGUUAAUCGGGGCAGGGUGAGUCGACCCCUAAGGCGAGGCCGAAAGGCGUAGUCGAUGGGAAACGGGUUAAUAUUCCCGUACUUGGUGUUACUGCGAAGGGGGGACGGAGAAGGCUAUGUUGGCCGGGCGACGGUUGUCCCGGUUUAAGCGUGUAGGUGUGUGUUCCAGGUAAAUCCGGUUCACUUUAACACUGAGGCGUGAUGACGAGGCACUACGGUGCUGAAGCAACAAAUGCCCUGCUUCCAGGAAAAGCCUCUAAGCAUCAGGUAACAUCAAAUCGUACCCCAAACCGACACAGGUGGUCAGGUAGAGAAUACCAAGGCGCUUGAGAGAACUCGGGUGAAGGAACUAGGCAAAAUGGUGCCGUAACUUCGGGAGAAGGCACGCUGACA